CAAUAGCGUAUAUUAAAGUUGUUGCAGUUAAAAAGCUCGUAGUUGGAUUUCUGAUCGAGACAUCAGGUCGGGUCCGAGAGGAUCAUGUACUUUGAUUUUGUUUUGAUCAUCCUUGGGGAGAGCAUUUCUGGCAUUCAGUUGUCGGGAUUGGGAUCCUCAUCGUUUACUGUGAAAAAAUUAGAGUGUUCAAAGCAGGCCUCGGCCUCUGAAUACAUUAGCAUGGAAUAAUAAGAUAGGACUUUGGUCGUAUUUUGUUGGUUUCUACAGCCGAAGUAAUGAUUGAUAGGGAUAGUUGGGGGUGCUAGUAUUCUGCGGCCAGAGGUGAAAUUCUGUGAUUCGCGGAGGACUGACUUAUGCGAAAGCAUUCACCAAGGAUGUCUUCGUUAA
rnacentral:rRNA from 1 species